rnacentral:rRNA from 1 species
CUACGGGACGCUGCAGUGAGGAAUUUUGCGCAAUGGGGGAAGCCCUGACGCAGCAACGCCGCGUGAGUGAAGAAGGCUUUCGGGUCGUAAAGCUCUGUCAAGUGGGAAAAAAGCCUUUUGAUUAAUAGUCUUAAGGUCUGAUGGUACCACUAGAGGAAGCACCGGCUAACUCCGUGCCAGCAGCCGCGGUAAUACGGAGGGUGCAAGCGUUGCUCGGAAUUACUGGGCGUAAAGAGCGGUAGGCGGUAUAGUAAGUCAGAUGUGAAAGCCCUGGGCUUAACCCAGGAAGUGCAUUUGAUACGGCUAUUCUUGAGUAUGGGAGAGGAGAGUGGAAUUCCCAGUGUAGAGGUGAAAUUCGUAGAUAUUGGGAGGAACACCCGUGGCGAAGGCGACUCUCUGGACCAAUACUGACGCUGAGACGCGAAAGCGUGGGGAGCAAACAGGAUUAGAUACCCUCGUAGUC